rnacentral:rRNA from 1 species
UACGAAGGGUGCAAACGUUGCUCGGAAUCAUUGGGCGUAAAGCGCACGUAGGCGGCUUGCCAAGUCGGACGUGAAAUCCCUCAGCUCAACUGAGGACGUGCAUCCGAAACUGGCGAGCUUGAGUACUGAAGAGGAUCGCGGAAUUCCCGGUGUAGAGGUGAAAUUCGUAGAUAUCGGGAGGAACACCAGUGGCGAAAGCGGCGCACUGGACCACAACUGACGCUGAGGCGCGAAAGCUAGGGGAGCAAACAGG